AACGUAGGAGACAAACGUUAUCCGGAGUUACUGGGCGUAAAGGGCGCGUAGGCGGGCGGUCAAGUCGGGGGUGAAAUCUUUCAGCUUAACUGGAAAAGUGCCUCCGAUACUGAUCGCCUCGAGGGAGGUAGGGGCAUGUGGAACUUCCGGUGGAGCGGUGAAAUGCGUAGAUAUCGGAAGGAACGCCGGUGGCGAAAGCGACGUGCUGGACCUCUUCUGACGCUGAGGCGCGAAAGCUAGGGGAGCAAACGGG
rnacentral:rRNA from 1 species